UGGGGUGUAGCUCAACUGGUAGAGCGCCAGACUCUGGAUCUGGGUGUUCGGGGUUCGAGCCCCUGCACCCCAGCCA
rnacentral:tRNA from 1 species